UGGAACAUUCUCUCUAAACCCUAGAGAUGGUUGUGCGUGAAAUCAGCAGUCUCUGAAAUACUCAGACCCGCCCAUCUGUCACCAACAACCAUGCCACGUUCUUCCCCAUUCCGAUGAUCAGUUUGAACUUCAACAAGUUGUCUUGACCACGUUUACAUGCCUAAAUGCAUUGAGUAGCUCCCAUGGAAUGGCUGAUAAGCUAUUUGUGUUAACAAGCAAGGAAGGUGUACAUAAUAAAGUGUCUGGCGAGUGUAUAUCCGACAACUGAAUGUCAAAUACAACACACAACUCUGUUACUAACACAGUGUAUAUUAAUGGCCUUAAGUGUUUUACAUUGUUUUGUUGUAAAUAAUACACAUGAUUCACAACUGUGCUAAAAUGUAUUCUUUUGAAACAGUAUGUACUCGUACUUCACAGCUUAUCCUAUAGGAAAGGACACAUGUUUGCAAUUAAUAUGUUCUUUUUAAACAUACAUUUAAAUCUCUCAUAUAUUCAUCCAAAUGGUCUGAGUAUUUAUAGUUUUUGGCAAUUUUUGCCUUUAUUUGUUCAGUCACUAUGAGACUGAGAGAGUCAGGAGACGUGGGGAGGGAGGAUGUAAUUCAACGAGGCUCCUUCAGCCUGAGGUCCAACCAUGGAUGCUGCUGUUUUGUAGUAUGCACCUUGAGAUUCUGAGCUGCUCUGAACCAGAAGGACGUAAAAGGCUGGCAAACAGGAAACUUAAUUGCUUAUAUGAAUGACUGCACCAGGAAGUUCAGUAAUAAGUAGAAUGAAUUCAGAGCAGGAGGACAGAAUGAAAGAUGAGGAUACGCUGAUCGACGUACGCAGCUCUUGAGCUCAUGUUUUGACCAUUUGGAUGAAUUCAGGUCAUUAAAGCUUAAUGGGAUUUUAAUAAGGAUGCUGGCAGAGACGGAGAAAGCGGAGAGAGAAAGAUGAACGUUUGCCAAAAAGUCCAAGUGCAGUUGCCAUGCCAACACUACCAUGGCAGGUUCCUGGAGUCCUUGAGGUUAUUGGAGGAAGGACAUUUAAUUAUAAAAAACUCUGAAUAUGACAUGAACAAACAAUGCAGACGUCAUAGCCGAAACUACCGGGUUACAGCAUGUUUCAUUCAUAAUGUACACCAUGUGAGAGUCCAUUUAAACGUAUCUUUAAAAAGAAAAAUGUGUCCUUUCCUUUAGGAUGAGCUUUUCAGUACUGUAGAGCACGAGUUGUUAACAACAUAUAGAAUAUAUAAAGAAUACCUAUUAGCAAAUUUUUUAAUGAAUUUUGUUUUUUCAACAAAACAUAGAGGUGUGUGUUUUCACAAAUUACACAUUCAGUUCAUAGGACUACUUGUGCAGUGCCAUUAAAGUCGUAGGAACCACCUACACAUCACCAAGGACAUGUUUCAGGGUCUUACUAUACAUUACUGCAUAUCUGAUUAUCUCUUUUACUUUUUCUCUGUUUGCUCAAUGGCCUUGUGUAAAUAACAGUGACAUGACAACAUUAGCUUCCUCAUUAACUUCCCUCUGUCACAUUUCCACUGAACUUUCUACUAAGCUUUUCACUUCUUUUUUUUUUUUUUACCUUAACUAUAGGUAUAAAGUAGAAUAUUUUUGUUUUUAAAAUAUUGCACUAAGAUUGGAUUGUGGAUGUGUGUGUGUAUCUGUGAAAGGGAGGGAGAGAGAGAGGCAAUAAGAAAAAUUACCAUCUAAUGUAAUAUGUUCAGGUAGGACAACUAAAUUCCUAUUUUAAAGCUGCAUUAAUAGAUUAUUAUGGCCUCACCUUAUAGAGUUGCUCAUUGAGCUAGAAAACAUUUGUCUAAUUACACAUCCAGCUGGCACAGCAGUACAGCAUUAAAUUGGAGCCGUGCUUUUUGGCACCAGGGGGCGGAGGCAAAGGAGUGUUGUAGGCCCAGCACCUGCUUAAGAGCUGCAGGAGCAAACCAUGAAGCUGAGAAGGGGGGAGUAAAGCCAUCAACAAUGCUGAUUUAUGUGAUUAUUUUGAGUAUGCUUUAUUGAUUUACUGAUAGAAAUUUGUAUUUAUGUAAAUAUUCAUUCUUUGGGCUCUAUUUUUCUGUGGUGUUGGGUUUUUGGGUAAAUUAUUUAGUAUUCUAAAUGAUGGUGGUCCCACCUGAGUAGUUUUACCCACUUAAUUACCUGUAGGAGGGAGUGUAUAAAAGGCAGCAAGUUACUUCCAGUGCAAGUUGUUUUGUUGCUUGUUGGUGUCGGUGUCUCCUCUUGUUGGCUUGGAAGACAAUAAAUGCCACGUUUGUGCUUGCAUUUUA